AUGACACAGGGCUACUGGGACAUCUGAGGGCUGACCCACACCAUCUGCCUGCUCCAGCAAUACACAGACUCAAGCUAUGAGGAAAAGAAGUACACGAUGGGGGGGUGCUCCUGACUCUGACAGAAGCCAGUGGUUGAAUGAAAAAGUUGAGCUAGGCCUGGACUUUCCCAAUCUGCCCUACUUGACUGAUGGGGCUCACAAGAUAACCCAGAGCAAGGCCAUCCUGGGCUGCAUUGCCUACAAGCACAACCUGUGUGGGGAGACAGAAAGGGAGAAGAUUUGGGAAGACAGUUUGGAGAACCAGCUUAUGGACAACCAAAUGCAGCUGGCCAGACUCUGCUACAACGCAGGUUCUGAGAAACUGAAGCCAGAAUAUCUGGAGGCACUCCCUGCAAUGCUGAAAUUCUACUCACAGUUUCUGGGGAAGCAGCCAUGGUUUCUUGGGGACAAGAUCGCCCUUGUGGAUUUCAUUGCUUAUGAUGUCCUUGAGAGAAACCAAGUAUUUGAGCCCAAGUGCUUGGAUGCUUUCCCAAACCUGAAGGACUUCAUCUCCCGAUUUGAGGGCUUGGAGAUCUCUGCCUACACGAAAUCCAGCCGCUUCCUCCCAAGACCUGUGUUCACAAAGAUGGCUGUCUGGGGCAACAAGUAGUGCCUUGAAGGCCAGGAGGUGGCAGUGAGCUGCCCAUACUCAACCUGCUGCCCAGACUGUGUAGAGCAGCUGGACUCCACACCCCAGCCCCUGCCUUCUUGUU